rnacentral:rRNA from 1 species
GACGAACGCUGGCGGCGUGCUUAACACAUGCAAGUCGAACGGAAAGGCCCUGCUUUUGUGGGGUGCUCGAGUGGCGAACGGGUGAGUAACACGUGAGUAACCUGCCCUUGACUUUGGGAUAACUUCAGGAAACUGGGGCUAAUACCGGAUAGGAGCUCCUGCUGCAUGGUGGGGGUUGGAAAGUUUCGGCGGUUGGGGAUGGACUCGCGGCUUAUCAGCUUGUUGGUGGGGUAGUGGCUUACCAAGGCUUUGACGGGUAGCCGGCCUGAGAGGGUGACCGGCCACAUUGGGACUGAGAUGCGGCCCAGACUCCUACGGGAGGCAGCAGGGGAGAAUAUUGCACAAUGGGCGGGAGCCUGAUGCAGCAACGCCGCGUGCGAGAUGACGGCCUUCGGGGUGUAAACCGCUUUCGCCUGUGACGAAGCGUGAGUGGCGGUAAUGGGUAAAGAAGCACCGGCUAACUACG